rnacentral:rRNA from 1 species
UACAGAGGGUGCGAGCGUUGUCCGGAAUUAUUGGGCGUAAAGGGCUCGUAGGCGGUUUGUCGCGUCGGGAGUGAAAUCCACUGGCUUAACUGGUGGCUUGCUUUCGAUACGGGCAGACUGGAGGUAUGCAGGGGAGAACGGAAUUCCUGGUGUAGCGGUGAAAUGCGCAGAUAUCAGGAGGAACACCGGUGGCGAAGGCGGUUCUCUGGGCAUGUCCUGACGCUGAGGAGCGAAAGUGUGGGGAGCGAACAGG